rnacentral:rRNA from 1 species
CCUAAGGUAGCGAAAUUCCUUGUCGGGUAAGUUCCGACCUGCACGAAUGGCGUAACGAUUUGGGCGCUGUCUCAACCGUGGACCCGGUGAAAUUGUACUGUUCGUGAAGAUGCGAACUACCCGCGGAAGGACGGAAAGACCCCGUGAACCUUUACUGCAGCUUGGCAUUGGCUGCCGGGGCGCCGUGUAGAGGAUAGGUGGGAGACCGUGAUGCGGGGGCGCCAGCCCCCGCGGAGUCGCCCUUGGAAUACCACCCUCGGCGCCUUGGCAUCCUAACCUGCGGCCGUGACCCGGCGCAGGGACCGUGCCAGGUGGGUAGUUUGACUGGGGCGGUCGCCUCCCAAAGAGUAACGGAGGCGCACGUAAGGUCUGCUCGUCGCGGUCGGCAACCGCGAUCAUGAGUGCAAGAGCAUAAGCAGGCUUGACUGCGAGGCCCACAAGCCGAGCAGGUGGGAAACCAGGUUCUAGUGAUCCGGCGGCACAGAGUGGUAUGGCCGUCGCUCAACGGAUAAAAGGUACUCCGGGGAUAACAGGCUGAUCUUCCCCAAGAGUCCACAUCGACGGGAAGGUUUGGCACCUCGAUGUCGGCUCAUCGCAUCCUGGGGCUGGAGCAGGUCCCAAGGGUACGGCUGUUCGCCGUUUAAAGCGGUACGCGAGCUGGGUUCAGAACGUCGUGAGACAGUUCGGUCCCUAUCCUCCGUGGGCGCAGGAAGACUGAGGGAGGCUGCCCCUAGUACGAGAGGACCGGGGUGGACGGACCUCCGGUGCACGGGUUGUUCGCCAAGAGCAUGGCCCGGUAGCUGAGUCCGGUCGGGAUAACCGCUGAAAGCAUCUAAGCGGGAAGCCCUUCCCGAGAUGAGUCUUCCUUUUCGGUAAGGACACAGGUAGACUACCUGUUCGAUAGGCCGCAGGCGCAAGCACGGCGACGUGCUCAACCGAGCGGUACUAAUCGUCCGAGCUCUUACUCG